UUGGUAUUUUGAUAUUGAUGCACAUUCCUGAACUGUACAGCAGGGGCCAGUGUUCAGCAGGAGGCAGCACAGCACAUGAUGUGUUCCUUUUCAUCCAACAUCCUAAGCAAUGUUCAUUACAUGGGUGUUUCACAGGAUU